rnacentral:rRNA from 1 species
UAUCUCUGUAGAGUCUGCAUAUCAAUAAGCGGAGGAAAAGAAACUAACUAGGAUUCCCUCAGUAACGGCGAGUGAAGCGGGAAGAGCUCAAAUUUGAAAUCUUCAAGGUUUUACCUUGACGAAUUGUAGUUUAAAGAAGUGUUUUCUGUUGGAAUUUUGGUAAAAGUUCUUUGGAAAAAGACAUCAAAGAGGGUGAGAAUCCCGUAUUUGACCAUUAUUUCCAGCUUUGUGAUACACUUUCAAAGAGUCGGAUUGUUUGGGAAUGCAGUCCAAAAUGGGUGGUAAAUUUCAUCUAAAGCUAAAUAUUGGCGAGAGACCGGUAGCGAACAAGUACCGUGAGGGAAAGAUGAAAAGAACUUUGAAAAGAGAGUUAAACAGUACGUGAAAUUGUCAAAAGGGAAGCGUUUGACACCAGUGUUGUUUUCUCGAAAAUCAAUUAAAAAUGGCGGGAUUUUGUGUUGUAUUGACUUUAUCAGCUUUCUGCACUUUUUUCCUGUCUUUUUUAAUGCACUUUUCGUUUAACAAGUCAACAUCAAUUUCUUUUGUUGUAAAAGGGUCAUUGGAAGGUGGCUUUCUUUUCGGAGAAAGUGUUUAUAGCCUUUGACUUCCUGCAAUCGGAGAGAUUGAGGUCUGCAGCGUAGAUCCUUCUGGGAUUAGAUACUUAGAUGCUAAGUUAUAGUUUUUAUAGACAACUUGUUGACUAUAGUUAGUCAUGUAGCUUACUCGCUUAUGCCUAAUUUUACCUACGCUUAGGAUGUUGAUCUCUCACAGUCGAGC